GCCGGGUUGGCAGAGCGGCCUAUUGCGCUCGUCUUAAGAACGAGUAACUGUGUUCGCAGUUGCGUGGGUUCGAAUCCCACACCCGGCG
rnacentral:tRNA from 1 species